AAGUCGUAACAAGGUAUCCGUAGGUGAACCUGCGGAUGGAUCAUUAUCACGUUAUCCACGUAUCAACCAUUGUGAACUAGUACUUUUACCUUUGUUUUGAUUUGGAAGUAGGGUUUCGGCUCUGCUGACAAAUUUAAACAAUUGUAUUUUCAUUCAUUUAUUAACUAUUUAAACAAUCUUAAAUAAUUAACUAUUGAACUGAAACAUUCUUUACUCUCUCGGGAGAAAGAAUAAAAAUUACGAAACAUAAGAACAACUCUUAGCAACGGAUAUCUUGGUUCUC
rnacentral:misc_RNA from 1 species